rnacentral:rRNA from 1 species
UACGGAGGGUGCAAGCGUUAUCCGGAUUCACUGGGUUUAAAGGGUGCGUAGGCGGCUAGGUAAGUCCGCUGUGAAAGUCGGGGGCUCAACCCUCGGAUGCCGGUGGAUACUGUCGGGCUUGAGUACGGAAGAGGCGAGUGGAAUUCCUGGUGUAGCGGUGAAAUGCGCAGAUAUCAGGAGGAACACCAGUGGCGAAGGCGACUUCCUGGCCUGUUCUUGACGCUGAGGCGCGAAAGCUAGGGGAGCAAACGGG